GCGGUCUGAAAAUCACUCGGGGUCUGCUGUGGCCCUGGGUGAGAUAACAGCGCCCAUAGCAUCAGGAACAUUAAGCUUAUUGCCCACGGCGGUCUGUGGGUAAUGAAACCCAUGUUCCCAUAAGC
rnacentral:snoRNA from 1 species